AUUGAACGCUGGCGGCAGGCCUAACACAUGCAAGUCGAGCGAGCGGCGGACGGGUGAGUAAUGUCUGGGAAACUGCCUGAUAGCGGGGGAUAACUACUGGAAACGGUAGCGAAUACCGCAUACAAUCCGAUGUGGCCAGAUGGGAUUAGCUAGUGGGUGGGGUAACGGCUCACCUAGGCGACGAUCCAUAGCUGGUCUGAGAGGAUGACCAGCCACACUGGAACUGAGACACGGUCCAGACUCCUACGGGAGGCAGCAGUGGGGAAUAUUGCACAAGGGGCGCAAGCCUGAUACAGCCAUGCCGCGUGUGUGAAGAAGGCCUUCGGGUUGUAAAGCACUUUCAGCGGGGAGGCGUUACCCGCAGAAGAAGCACCGGCUAACUCCGUGCCAGCCGCCGCGGUAAUUC
rnacentral:rRNA from 1 species